rnacentral:lncRNA from 1 species
UCGAGUUGCAGGGAGAGAACACAUACACAAGCAGAACAAAAGUAAAAAGGGAAAUAAAAUGAACCUGGCACGAAACCAUGUUGUAUGAUAAAAGGGAGUUAGCUUGUUUAGGCCUUGCCAGACUCCUCGCAGCCUGGUGGCUUGAAGGCGAUGAAGCUGACGCACUGCACCUGACGCAUGUUGUCGAAUCCGAUGAUGCGGACAUAGGCGUCAGGGUACUCCUUCUUGACCUCCUCCACUUCGUUUAACACCUGUGUGGCGUCGGUGCACCCAAACAUAGGUAGCUUCCACAUUGUCCAGUAUCGGCCAUCGUAAUACCCUGGAGAGGCAUUGUGCUCACGGAAGAUGAAUCCAACCUUGCUGAACUCGAGACAAGGCACCCACUUGGAGCGGAUCAGGUAGUCGACCUGCUUCAGGAGUGCCUCCGUGGAGAGCGGUGGCAAGUAAGACAAAGUCUCGAACUUCUUGAUGCCUUCAAUCGGCCAGACCUGAAUUGUUCACAGAAUUUAGUUUGUCCUCCGUUAGUCAGCUCGAUGGAAUGGGCUGGGAAGUAAAAUCUUUUGUCUUCGGUCUAGUGACCAUACCUGCAUGCACCGGAUUCUUCCGCCGUUGCUGACGCUGCCGAGGCCAGCCGCGUUGCCGGAGAGGCGGCUGACUGGGAGACCAGCUGUGGACUUGAGUCCCUGGAAGGGUGCUACGGCGGUGGCUGCCGACGACAUGACAGUGGGAGCCAUCGUUGAUAGCUAAUAGGAGAGGCAGGCUUUACUUGAGACUGUGCGGUGGGUCGGCGACGAUGGCUUGUAUAAACCGUAGGCUCCCACCCAUUCCAUUAUCUGCACAAGAUCUGGGAGGAGUGGCUGCUGUUAGCCUCGGAGAUUAUCCCCGGCUACGGUGCCAUCCUGUAGAUCGGAUCAAGCGCCAUGUGGCAACGUGCCUUAUCCCGUGGACCUACGUUCUACCCUGUCCAUGCGUGGCUGAUCCUUUGCAAAUGAGAAUGUACUUUUUUUCGCGAUAUUCACCACACAUCUGAUAUAAUGGACAAUAACCAUAUGACCCUAUGUGGUAUACUUAGGAGACAUCCCACACGAUUGACACAAUCGGACGCAGCUACUUCAUGUCACACGUCUAACAAUUACUCCCUCCGCUCUUUAAUAUAAGUCUUUUUAGAGAUUUUUCUAGAAGACUACAUAUGAAUGUAUAUAGAUAUAUUUUAAAAUGUAUAUUUACUCAUUUUACUUUAUAAGUAGUCACUUAAUGAAAUCACUAAAAUACUUAUAUUUAGGAAAUGAGGGAAUACUCAUUCCCAUCCCUUUUGUAUGCCACGGAGCAAUUUCGCCUUGACAUUUCUUGGUGACAACUUUAGUUACUUGAGGAUGGUAACUUUAGUUGUAAAACAUCACAACUUCUCUGUUUUAAUUAAUUAUAGUUGUCAUGCUUAAUUAACGAUAGUUACCACGUGUGGCCAAAUUAUAAUUGUCAUGUAUGAUCAACCAUGGUUGUCAUGUGUGAUUAACUAGCUAUCACGUGUAGUUCAACCAUAAUUGUCAUGUAUGGUCAAUCAUAUUUGCAAUAUGUGAUUAGCCAGUUGCCACAUAUGCACAACUGUAGUUGUCAUCUAUCACAAUACGAGCAUCGUAUGGGUGAAGAGUAGUUCACCCGCACAACGUGGACUAGAUGGUGUCUGUGUAAGCGAGUACCGAUUCACCUGCACGACGAAGCUAUCAAUCACGCGUGCAAGGCCGUUUGGAAAAGCGCUCUAACCACUUACACACCACAAUAUGCCUACGUGUGAAAUUCUAAUAGACCCCUGCAAGAUUCGUGCAAUCGAGAACCAACGAUAAUAAAUGCGUAUGGACCAAGUAUUGAAAUACCACACGUAUGGAUAUUAUUAUUUGUUUUUUAUGUCAGUAAAUAAGGAUGCUCGUAUACAAGGCAUACACACACACCAAUGAGAAUUUCUAAAUAUAUUUUUAUCUAUAAUAUUAUUUUUUAGGGAUGUAAUGACUCCUUAUUCAAAUAAUUCAUAGCAAUCGUUACAUGAUCAUUUGCUUGAAAGAAACCAAACAUGUCUACCUAAGUUUAGAGAAAGUAAAAAAAUUUGGCUAAACUAUAUGCUUCAUUAUUCUUGUCUAACUUUCAUGUACUUUCAACAAAUUAUGUUGCUCUAGCCUUGACCUCGUUUAUAAUAGCAACAUAUCUUUCUCCUUCAAUCAUUUUGAGGUCCUUAUCACAGUGGCACAAUGAGAUGAAAUAAUAAAUUGUGAUGCUUGGAGAUCAUGUGUGAGCACCAUCACCUCGCGACAACAAGUGUUUUUUGAAUUGGUGCACUAGUGAUUCCCGGGAAAGUAAUGGAUUAAGAUCUCACUUAGUUACCAUGUUCGUAGCGACAAACUACCACUGUUGAAACUCGAUCGCUGUUUUUAGAGAACCAGAUGGGGGUCUAAUCCAAGGUUCCUAACAAAACUUGGACUCGCGCACCUACUCUAUUGUCUUUUUUUUGAAGAGAUGGUAUCUAGCUGUGAAAAGAACUUCGUAAUUAACAAGCGGGUUGAUCAAGGUGAUUGGAAUUCUUGUUCUUGCCUUUCAUCUCGUGGACCAUACUGCCCACAAGGUGAUUACUAUCUCCACAUAGUGCUCAUGUGAUAAUGAGUCUAGCAUAGCCAAGAGACACAUUUUUGCAUUUGGUAUCCUUGUUUCCAUCAAGUGUUGGAGCAUCUCCUCAAUGGCCCCAAGCACAUCUUGUAUAAUGCCCAAUAUGCGAUCCUAUCCUUGUUUUUUUUGGUACGAAGGCCUCGACGGGGGUAGAAUCUCAUCUCGUCGUUUUACAAGAAUGGAUAUCGUUACAAGUACAUGUACAGAAGGGACGAGUAUAUGGAAUUGGCUUACAAUCGCCACAAGCUACAUCAUGAGAAUCUCAAUACAACAAUACAUCCAAUCAUCAUGUAGAAGAGCAGGGCAUGUCUACGGAUGAAAACAAACGAUAAAAGAACGACGUCCAUCCUUUCUAUCCCAAGCUACUGGCCUGAAACCCAUCCUAUGAUCGAUGAAGAAGAAGAAGAAACUCGAAAUAGAACAAUCAUCGCGCUCACGUUGAAGUAUCGCUUUACCGGUACCUGCAACUAUUGUUUUAGUAAUCUGUGAGUCACAUGGACUCAGCAAUCUCAUCUUUAAAGGUAUCAAGACUAGCAAAGCUUAAUGGGUGAGGUAUGGUUAUGUGGUUAGGUUGCAACAAGGAAAUAAGCAUUUAUAUGAGUGGCUAACUUACGAGUAGAAGAAAUAAGAGAAGAGAUAAUCUACGCAUAACGAACGUGAACUAAUAAUGAUCUCAAAGUGAUUCUGAACACCUACUUACGUCAAACAUAAACCAACCGUGUUCUCUUUAAUAUGCAUAACUCACGAGAAGAGACAUUCACGGUUACGCACACAGUUGGCAAGUUUUAAGUUUACUUCAAGUUGUCUAGAACCAGAUGUUAAACAAAGUUUCCAAGUUGCCAGAUAACCACGGGCACGACUUUCCAAGGGAUAUAACCCUCGAGGGCUUCUCCAACUAGUCCAUCACAAACUACCACAAGCUGCGUCGGAAACCUAGACUACGGAAAAACCGUGAUCUCCUCGGGUUCCUGGUGGAAAAACUCAAGUUCGAGAUAGCCCAAAUUAUCCUCGGAAUCCCUUGUAGAAGACAUUCGAGAAAGGUCAAAGAAAUCCACCAAGGCCGCCCGACGAGUCUACGAUGCCGAUAGGAGCCGCGUAUCUCGUUCUCCGGACACGAUGGAUGAGCACUACGUACGGUGGCCGGAUAGACAUCCCCCGAGUUCGGCCCAGCUAGUGGCUCUAGUUUGGACCAACACUCAUGAGAAGCACUGGCCCGGGGGUUGAUUAAUUAUCCACAGGGUCGUGAAAGUCCCUAUGCAAUUUUAUUAGGUUAUUAGGCAAAAUGUAGUACCAAUGCUGGGCCUUGCCAGAUGAGUUUUAUCCCAAAAUGAAAAUCUAGGGGGUCUCCAUAAGAACCCCAAGCAUGUUAGGAGCGCUCAAUUAUGGAACAUAACACCGGUAGCCGAAACUAAGGCAGCAAAAGCGGAACAAAACACCCAACCAAAAGACUAAGCCUUCCGCCUUCUACCAAGUAUAUAGGUGCAUUAAAUUAAAUAACAAUAAUAUUAUGAUAUAACAAGGAACCCAUGUUUUUUUCAUGGAAGCAAUUGUACCUGCAACUAGCAAUGCUAUCAAAAGGCUGAGUAAGCCGUAACAUAGCCAACCAGUGGUUUGCUUGGUUGAGGAAUGGUUAGAGGGUUUUCAUGACAAAGUUUGGAGGAUGACAUUUAAGUGGUAGGCAGCGAGACAUAGCGAAAUAAACGAUAUAACUAGCAUGGAAAUUAUAGUAAUUGUAUCUAGGGAAGUGGUCAUCUUGCCUGUGAUCCCGCUUGGAAGAAGAACGAAUCCGUGAAGCAGGUGAAGCAAUGUAGCCGAACGAAUCCUCACAUUCCAAAGCUGUUUAGAACUCUAUCGAGGAAAAAACAAUCCGGAACAACAAUCAACACACGAUAACACCACACAUAUUCAUGACAAGAUGCACAAUAAAAUAUGAUGCAUGGCAAUUUCAAUUUAUGCAAGCAUGGAAAAGCACAACAAAUAAUACUACACAUUAAAUGAAGCUCAAUAUGCAACAAGUUGCAUAUUGAAAAACUCCAUACUUGAAUUAUUUAGUUCACUCUCAUUUAGGUACACGACAAUAUUAAAUGUUGUUAAACAUGGCAAGAGGUGAAGCAUAAAUAAACUACACUAUCUAGGCAUUUUAAAUGAGCUCAGAAACAACAUAUAGCAUCUCCGAAAUGACCCCAUGUGUUAAUUUUGAAAUCUGUCUAGAUCUGAACUAAGCAUGUUUUAAGUUUAUUAAACAGCAAAAUAAAGUGGACUACGUGACUCUACAUGUCAUUCUAGUCAAUUUACAUAUAUAGAUCAUUUGAAAUGGAGCUACGGUCUAAAAGAUAUGAUCAUCACACGAUAAUAUGAUAUUGAUGCAAAAUGCAUGCAAAUGACAUCCACAACAUGUUAAACGUGGAUGCGACAGUAUAUUAUGGAACUACCAAAAUUCUAAGCAAGUUUAAAUUAGGCCUGAAUAACGAACAACAAUUCCGGAAAGUCCAUAUAUGUAAUUUCUAAAUUUGCUACAGAUCUGUGUAAACACAAUUUUAGAUUUGUUAAACAGGAAAAUAAAUGUUACCAUGUUAUUCUACAACUUUUUCUAGCCAAGUUACAUAUGUGGAACAUUUUAAUUGGAGCUACGGUUAAUUAGUUAUGACAUAAACCAUUUCCACAUGGCAUUUUUGCAAAUUAAUUAAAACAACAAGUUAAACAUGUUAGACACAUGUGAGAGUUGCAUAUUGUAAACCUACACAGAAUUCUAAGCAUUUUUUAUGUAUGAAGUUUUUAAAUCCGACGCACGAUUAUUUAGCUAUGAAUUAAUUCAUUUUAAUAUGACAUCCACGCAAAUUUAAUUAAACAACAAGUUUAAAUGUUUUGAACAUGUGUGAAAGGGACAUAUUAUCAAUCUACACAAAAUUCUAUACAUUUUACAUAUUUAAAAUAUUUUUAUCCGAUGCACGGUUAAUUUGUUCUUAACAUUUUAAAGUGAGAACAUAAUCUCUAAUUAUAACAUACACCGAAUAGUUAGCAUUAUCAGAGACGCAAAAAAACAACAACAUGCCGAAUCUGGCUACGGGCCAAAACAACCAGUGGGCACAGGAUAACUGUGCGAGACAGUAGGCGGGUUAUAUAUAGGGAUUGGGCUAUGGUGGGUUGGACCUUGUCCGUCCGGUCGUAAUUCGAUGACCACGAACGGAGGGAGGGGUUAGGUCGGUCUAGUGGGCUGUGUAGAUGGGCUAGGUUCGGAUGAGAGGGAAGUGGUGCAUCCCAUGACAAAAUUUUAAAAGGCAAAAACGCCCGAUAUUUAAACUGACGCCGGUGGCACUAAGGUCGAGCGUUUGGGUAUCAAACAAACUCCGAUUGCGACGAAAUUUGGCAGGCGGUCUACCUACAUUAAAAUAGAACCGCACGCCAUGUUUCAAACCAAUCUGAGAGAGUUUUGCAUACGAUUUAAAAAAUAAUAUUUUUAAUAAUGUCACGGGCGCGUGUGCGUAUGAUUGGCCUCGAAACGGUCAAUGACAAAAACGGACAGAACUGACAACUAAUAACGGAUGCAAGUUUUGAAAAAUGACGGGAAUGGAGUGCCGAUGCAAUGCGGAUGAUGCGAAUGAUGCGAUGAUGAAUGCAGAAACCAAACAAAUCACAUGACAACAAUGCAGUAAAAGGGGAAUCUUCUAGAACGUUGGUUCCGGGCUGUUACAUCUUGCCGAGUAGCGUUCCACCAAAGCAUGACACCAAGAAUCUUCAGAAUCACACACACGGAAGCAAUAUGUACCUGCCAUAUUUCCUUGCUCCAAAACAUCAAAGGCUUGGUUUGAGUGUUGGGCCAAACGUUCCGCAAAAUCCUUGAGUUUCAACAGAAUAGUAGUGCCCCAUAACUUCGUCCAUUGCUUAACCACCGAAACCAUAUCUGAUGAGGCCAUACCAUGAUACAACCAUCCAUCCUAGUGCAUCUUAGUGUUAAAAAUCGUGGUGGCGAUGUUCCUCUCAAAUGCCAAGGACAAAAAAUAGACAUAUAUUUUGUGCAUAAAUGAAUACCCAGAAUAGCACAUUCAUCCAUCGGUAAAAAGGAGGCCCAAACCAAACCCUUGCGCCAAGUCGCCGAUGUCCUAUCUAUUAAUUCAGGUACCAAGAAAACCCCAUGUUGUGUGGUGGUGAUUUUCCUCACUGUACUUUCUCCUGGAAUCAAAUUAUGAUUCCAAAUUUCAGUUGUGGAUCAAUCUCCUAUGUGGCGAAUAAGGCGAUGGAUCAUAAAAGUUGGACCUUCAACUACUGAUCUCCAAAUAUUUGAUGGGUGAACCCUAGGGUUGCAAAUAAUAUAGAUAUAUAAAAAAAUAUCGAUUUAAGCAAUUUUGCACUCAGGGUGUGUGGGUCCAUAAGAAUUCUCCAUGUCUAGCAAGCCAAAAGAGCCAAGCUAAAUAACUCCAAAUCUCUAAAUCCCAAACGUCAGAAAAAAGGACUAGAACUUCCGCGCCGCCGCUGCAAGUCGUUGUUCUAAAGAGAUCCCAUUCGGAGCCCUUUUUUGGCUUCCUGUGGGAGGGGAAAUCUUUAGGGGAGACCAUAUUCAUGAUCCCGGCGAUCUCUAUGAUGAGGGGGGAGUAGUUCACCCUGAGGGUUGAGGGUAUGUACUAGUAGUUAUGUGUGUGAUCUCUCUAUCUCGUGUUCUUGAUUUGGCACGAUCUUGAAGUACCACGAGCUUUGUUAAUAUAGUUGGAUCAUAUACUGUUCUUCCCUCUCUAUCUUCUAAUGAAUUGACUCUCUCCCUAUGAGAUUUCGUUAUGUGGGAUUAAACACUUGGGAUUUGAGAACACUAGAUGUACUUGUUGUAUGCGGUACCCCUGGUGACAAUGGGGUAUUAUAUUGCAUCACUUGAUAUAUGUUUUGGUAAUCAACUUGUGGAUUCCCGUGGUGACAUUGGGGUAAUGUAGGCACAUGGGUUGAUACAUGUUUUCAUCCUAAUUUCUCCUAUAGAUACUUUGGGGUAAUCUUUGAGGUUCUUUGUGUGGAUUUAAUAUUAUGAAUCUAAAAUUGUUUGGUGUUAUUUAGUAGGAAUGCUAGGGUUUUUUGUGAUACAUUAGGUAUUUCUCAAUAGAGUGAUGGAAAAGACAACUAUUUAGCACAAACUCUAGGGCUGCUUGUGACACAUAUAGGGAUGGAUCAAUAGAUUGAUCGGAAAGAUAAAUUUGAGGUGGUUCACUACCUACAACAAUUUCUUCUUAUGUUCACCUCUAAUGACCAGGAUUUUGGAGUGAUUCUUUGUGCAUGUUGAGGGAUGGUUAUAUGACUUAAUUAUGCUAGACCUAUUGAGAAAUUGCACUGGUGAAAGUAUGGACCCUUGUUUCCAUGUAUUGAUUUAACAUGUUGCAAGUUGUUUGUCACUUGCUACCUUGUUGUUCUUAUAUUUUUCGAUUGCAAAAAACUAUUUCUACCAUCCAUACUACACUUUUAUCACCAUCUCUUCUCCAAACUAGUGGACCUAUACAAUUUACCAUUGUAUUGGUUGUGUUGGGGACACACGAGAUUUCUUGUAUUUGAUUGCAGGGUUAUUUGAGAGAUACCAUCUUAAUCCUACACCUCCCAUGGAUUGAUAAACCUUAGGUGAUUGAUACGUAUCCAACAUAUCUAUAAUUUUUGGUUGUUCCAUGCUAUUUUAUUGCCAUUCAUGGAUACUUUAUAAGCAUUUAUAUGUUACUUUAUAUCAUUUUUGAAAACUAACCUAUUAACCCAGUGCCUAGUUCCAGUUGUUGUUUUCCGCCUCUUCUGUAUUUUUAGGAAGCAGUACCAAACUAAGUCCAAAUGCAAUGAAAUUUUUGACGUUUUUCUGAACAAAAAUAAGAUAUGGGAGCUUCAGAGGGAGACCAAAUGCCACACGGAGUGGUGCCAAGCCAACAGAGCGCACCUAAGACGGGUAGGCCAGCCCUAAUGGCUAGGUACCACCCCCUCGCGCCUCCUGACCUAACUGCACCUCGAUAAAUUUUCUAAAAUAGGUAAAACACCAUAGAGACACCCAAAAUAUUUUUCCACCACCGCUCGUCUUUGUUCUGCCGCGAACCCAUCUAGAUCACUGUUCCGGUGUCGUGUCGAAGGGUGGAUCAAUCACAGAGGGCCUCUAGAUCAACUGUGAUGCUCCCAUGGUGAUAUGUGAGUAGUUUACGACAGACCUACGGGUCCAUAGCGUAAUUAUAUAUAUAUAUAUAUAUAUAGAUAGAUAGAUAGAGAGAGAGAGACACACACACACACAUAAACACUAUUCUCAUCCCAGGUUGAGAAUAACUAUUCUCAUCCAGACUGACUCGUCCGAGCAGUAGCACUUGAACUUCCCCGAGUGCUAGGUUGAACUUAUGCCAGAAGUGUGCAAAUGGGGCUUGCGAUAUACCAUUGCAAAUCUAUGGACACCCUAAGAAGAUCCUAAUAUGAUUUUUUGUGAAAAUGUUCAUGGUUUAAAAGUAGUUUUCAAAACUAUUUUUGUUCAUACCAAAAAACAUGAAUCGUAUUUUCAAGCCUAUUUCUAAAAGGUUUAUCAAAAUGAUGCAAAUAAGGUGGAGGUGGAGAGACUUUGCAAAUACGCUAAUUUCAUACGUUGAAAGUUCUCCCAAAUUCCCUACGGUUAAAGAGGAAUUAAAAAAAAUGGCUGAAUUUGUGAAACCGAACACCCGGGUUCGUAUUUCAGGGUUAAUUUGAAAACGGCUAGUCCGAUCGAUGCAAAUGAUAUGUUGUUCGAAAGCUUAUGAAAAUGUGCGUUGUUUCAUACAAAAUGUUUAUGCUAACUAUGAACGGUUUAAAAGUAAUUUACUAAAUGGCACAAGUUGUAUCGAGUUUGUAUUUUCGCGUCAAUUUUUCAAAGGUUUGUUGGAAUGGAACGAAUGAUAUGGCGUUGGAAAGCUUGAACAAAUGCUAAACUUUUAUAUGUCAAUUCUUUUUUAAUUCAUUACAGUUUUACGUGAGUUUUUAAAAUGGCUAAAGUGUGUUUUGGCUAUAGGUUUUACAAACUUUAUCGGAAUAAGGCAAAUAAUAUACCGUUGAAAUGCUACGGAAAUGUGAAACUUUUUCAUGUAUAUAGUUUUCUAUGAUUCCUAUCCAUUUUCAAGCAAUCUAGAGAAAAGUGAGAUCAUGCCUUCUGUAUUUAUCGCAAAAUAGAGCCUUCAAAAAUGCAUCGCGUGAAGAACUUGACCUUCUCGCCAUGUCCACUUGAACUUCACUUUGUUUUUUUUGGAAAUAUGCCCUAGAGGCAAUGAUAAAAUAGUUAUUAUUAUAUUUCCUAUUUCAAUAUAAUCGUUUAUUAUCCAUGCUAUAAUUGUAUUGAAUGAAAACAUAAAUGCAUGUGUGGAUAUAUAGACAAAACAAUGUCCCAAGUAAGCCUCUAUUUGACUAGCCUGUUGAUCAAGGAUGGUUAAGGUUUUCUGACCAUAUGCAAGUGUUCUCACUUGAUGACUCGAUCACAUCAUUAGGAGAAUGAUGUGAUGGACAAGACCCAAACUAUAAACGUAGCAUGUGAUCGUAUCAUUUUGUUGCUAUUGUUUUCUGUGUGUCAAGUAUUCAUUCCUAUGACCAUGAGAUCAUGUAACUCACUGACACCGGAGGAAUACCUUGUGUGUAUCAAACGUUGCAACGUUACUGGGUGACUAUAAAGGUGCUCUACACGUAUCUCCGAAGGUGUCCGUUGAGUUAGCAUGGAUCAAGACUGGGAUUUGUCACUCCGUGUGACGGAGAGGUAUCUCGGGGCCCACUCGGUAAUACAACAUCACAUAUAAGCCUUGCAAGAAAUGUGACUCAAGUGUUAGUCACAGGAUCUUGUAUUAAGAAAACGAGUAAAGAGACUUGCCGGUAACGAGAUUGAAAUAUGUAUAGGGAUACCGACGAUCAAAUCUCGGGCAAGUAACAUACCGAAGGACAAAGGGAAUGGUAUACGAGAUUAUAUGAAUCCUUGGCAUAGAGGUUCAAUCGAUAAGAUCUUCAUAGAAUAUGUAGGAUCCAACAUGGACAUCCAGGUCCGGCUGUUGGAUAUUGACCGGGGAGUGUCUGAGGUCAUGUUUGCAUAGUUCUCGAACCCACAGGGUCUGCACACUUAAGGUUCGGUGAUGUUUCAGUAUAGUUGAGUUAUAGGUGUUGGUGACUGAAGGUUGUUUGGAGUCCCGGAUGAGACCACAGACGUCACGAGGGUUUCCGGAAUGGUCCCGAAACGAAGAUUGAUAUAUAGGAUUGUUUCAUUUAGCCUUCGGAAAGAUUUCAGGCAUUAGCGGCACUGUACCGGGAGUGACGAAUGGCUUCCGGGUCUUUACCGGGAGGGCCCACCCACCCGGGAGAGAACCCAAUAACCCAAGGGUGGCGCACCAGCCCUUAGUGGGCUGGUCAGGCCAGCCCAAGUGGGAUAUGUAGGCUAGAAGGAAAAAAUCAAAGGAAAAAAAAGAGGGAGGUGGGAAGGAAGGAGGGGACUCGUCCUUCCCAAACCGAAUUGGAGUUGGAAUCUCCUUCUCCUCUCUCGUGUGGAGCCCUAGGGGCUCCCUUGAGCCCCAACUCUAGCCCCUCCCCUCCUUCUAUAUAUACUAGAGGUUUUAGGGGUUUUGAGACACAACUUUUGCCACGUGCAACCCUAAACCUCUACUUCGUAGUUCUUCCUCUAGAUCGGUUUUCUGCGGAGCUCGGGCGGAGCCCUGCAGGAAUAAAUCAUCACCAUCACCGGCGCGCCGUCACGCUUCUGGAUAACUCAUCUACUUCCCCGUCUCUCUUGCUGGAUCAAGAAGGCGGAGAUCGCCAUCGAGCUAUACGUGUGCUGAACGCGGAGGUGCCGUCCGUUCGGCGCUAGAUCAGAACGGAUCAUGGGACGACGGUGAUUUGAAUCACAAAGCCGUUCCACUACAUGAACUGCGUUUCUUAAUGCUUCCCGCUUAGCGACCUACAAGGGUAUGUGGAUCCGAUCUCCCACUCUUAGAUGAACAUCACCAUGAUAGGUCUUCGUGUGCGUAGGAAUUUUUUUGUUUCCCAUGCAACGUUCCCCAAUAGUGGCAUCGUGUUCUAGGUUCAUGCGUAGAUGUAAUAUCGAGUAGAACACUUAAGUUUUUGUGGGCAUUGAUGUUCGAUUUGCUGCCCUCCUUAGUCUUUUAUCAAUUCGGCGGUAUUGUUGGAUUGAAGCGUCCCGGACCAACAUUACUCGUACGCUUACGAGAGACCAGUUUCAUCGACUAACAUGCAACUCGUUCCAUAACGAUGACUGGCGGGUGCUGGUUCUUCAACUUUAGUUGAAUUGGAUUUGACCGAGGCGGUCCUUGGAGAGAGGGUAAAUAGCAAUUUGCACAUCUCCAUUGUAGUUUUGCGUAAGUAAGAUGCGAUCGUACUAGAUACACAUAGCAGCCACGUAAAACAUGCAACAACAAAUUAGAGGACGUCUAACUUGUUUUUGCAGGCUAUGCAUGUGAUGUGAUAUGGCCAAAGACAGGAUGUGAUAUAUUGGAUGUAUGAUAUGAUCAUGUUGUAAUAGUUAAAUAUCCACUUGCACUUAGAUGCUACGACAACCGGCAGGAGCCAUAAGGUUGUCUUUAAACUAUCUUCUGUGUUUGCAGAUGCGUUUACUAUAUUGCUAGGUUGUAGAUUUAGUAGUAAUAGCAUAGAUAGCACGACAACAUCGAUGGCAGCACGAUGAUGGAGAUCUUGAUGAUGGAGAUCAUGGUGUGGCACCGGUGACGAUGAAGAUCAUGCCGGUGCUUUGGUGAUGGAGAUCAAGAAGCACAAGAUCAUGGACAUAUCAUGUCACUUAUGAAUUGCAUGUGAUGUUAAUCCUUUUAUGCACCUUAUCUUGCUUAGAACGACGGUAUCAUUAUAAGGUGGUCCCUCACUAAAAUUUGAAGAUAAAAUUGUGUUCUCCCCGACUAUGCGCCAUUGCGACAGUUCAUCAUUUCAAGACACCAUGUGAUGAUCGGGUGUGAUAGAUUCAACGUUCACAUACAAUGGUUGCAAAACAGUUGCACACGCGGAACACUCGGGUUAAACUUGACGAGCCUAGAGUGUGCAGACAUGGCCCCAGAAUACAUGAGACCGAAAGGUCGAGCAUGAAUCAUAUAGUUGAUAUGAUUAACAUAGAGAUGUUUAGCACUGAAACUGCAGUCAACUCACGUGAUGAUCGGACUUGUGUUAGUGAAUUUGGAUCAUCCCACACUCAAAUAACUAGAGGGAUGUCUAUUUGAGUGGGAGUUUAUUAGUAAUUUGAUUAGCUAAACUCUAAUUGUCUUGAACAUAGUCUAAGUCCACUUUGCAAUAUUUUAUGUUGUAGAUCAAUGGCUCACGCAGUAGCAACCCUGAAUUUCAAUACGUUCCUAGAGAAAGCUAAGUUGAAAGAUGAUGGUAGCAACUUUGUAGACUGGGCUCAUAAUCUCAGGCUCAUCCUGCAAGCUGGGAAAAAGAAUUAUGUCCUUGAUGCUGUGCUAGGAGAUGAACCAUCCUCAACGUCUGAUCAAGAUGUUUUGAACGCUUGGCAAGCACGUAAGGAGGACUACUCAGUAGUUCAAUUGUAGUCUUGUAUGGCUUAGAACCAGGACUUCAACGAUCUUUGAACGUCAUGGAGCAUAUGAGAUGUUCCAGGAGUUGAAGUUUAUCUUUCAGAAGAACGCCCGAAUCGAGGGGUAUGAGACCUUCAAUAAAUUCUACGCUUGCAAGAUGGAGGAGAAUUCGUCUGUCAGUGAACAUGUGCUCAAAAUGUCUGGGGUACUCAUACCGUCUAGCUGAUAUGGGAUUGAAUUCCCGCAAGAGUCUAUCACUAACAGAAUUCUUCAAUCACUGCCACCUAGCUACAAGAGCUUUGUGUUGAACUAUAACAUGCAAGGGAUGAACAAGUCACCCAGUGACUUAUUCGCGAUGCUGAAAGUCGCAGAGUCAGAACUCCCGAAAGAACAUCAAGUGUUGAUGGUGAAUAAGACCACUGGUUUCAAGAAAAGCGGCAAAGGCAAGAAGGGUAACUCCAAGAAGAGUGGAAAAGCUGUUGCUCCUUCGACGAAGAAACCCAAGGCUGGACCUAAGUCGGAAACUGAGUGCUAUUAUUGCAAGGGGAUGGGUCACUGGAAGCGCAACUGCCCCAAGUAUUUGGCUGAUAAGAAGGCGGCCAACGCCAAACCAGGUAUAUGUGAUAUACAUGUUAUUGUUGUGUACCUAACCAACUCUCGUAGUAGUGCCUCGGUAUUUGAUACUGGUUCUGUUGCUCAUAUUUGCAACUCGAAGCAGGAACCGCGGAAUAAACGAAGGCUGGAGAAGGAUGAAGUGACGAUGCGCGUGGGAAAUGGUUCCAAGGUUGAUGCAAUCGCCAUCGACACAGUCUCACUUCAGUUACCAUCAGGAUUAGUUAUCAACUUAAAUAAUUGUUAUUUAGUGCGUGCGUUAAGCAUGAACAUUAUAUCUGGAUCUUGUUUAUUACGAGACGGUUACUCAUUUAAGUCAGAGAAUAAUGGUUGUUCUAUUUAUAUGAGUAAUAUAUUUUAUGGUCAUGCACCCAAUGUGAGGGGUUUGUUCAUAUUGAAUCUUGAUUGUGAUGAUACACAUAUACAUAACAUUGAGACCAAAAGAUGUAGAGUUAACAAUGAUAGUGCCACCUUUUUGUGGCACUGUCGCUUAGGUCAUAUUGGUAUAAAGCGCAUGAAGAAACUCCAUGUUGAUGGGCUUUUGGAGUCACUUGAUUUCGAAUCACUUGACACGUGUGAACCAUGCCUCAUGGGAAAGAUGACUAAGACUCUAUUCUUCGGAACAAUGGAGCGUGCAAGUGACUUGUUGGAGAUCAUACAUACUGAUGUGUGUGGUCCAAUGGGGGUGGAGGCGCACGGCGGAUAUCGUUAUUUUCUCACUUUCACUGAUGAUUUGAGUAGGUAUGGAUAUAUCUACUUGAUGAAGCACAACUCUGAAACAUUUGAAAAGUUCAAGAAAUUUGAGAGUGAAGUUGAAAAUCAUCGUAACAAGAAGAUCAAGUUCCUACGAUCUGAUCGAGGGGGCGAAUAUCUGAGUUUCGAGUUUGGUGCUCACUUAACACAAUCUUGAAUCGUUUCACAGGUUAAACCGCCUGGAACACCACAGCGUAAUGGUGUGUCCGAACGUUGUAAUCGUACUUUGUUAGAUAUGGUGUGAUCUAUGAUAUCUCUUACCGAUUUGCCAUUAUCGUUUUGGGGUUAUGCAUUAGAGACAGCUGCAUUCACUUCAAAUAGGGCACCAUCAAAAUCCGUUGAGACGACACCAUAUGAGCUAUGGCAUGGCAAGAGGCCAAAGUUAUCGCUUCUUAAAGUUUGGGGAUGCGAUGCUUAUUUCAAAAAGCUUCAACCCGAAAAGCUGGAACCUGAUAAACGUAUCUAUAAUUUUUGAUGGUUUCACGCUGUUAUCUUGCCUUCUUUGUAUGUUUUAUGUACCUUUUUAUAUCUUUUUGGGACUAACUUAUUAAUUCAGUGCCAAGUGCCAGUUCCUGUUUUUCCCGUGUUUUUGACUCUUUUCAGAUCUGAUUUUGGAACGGAGUCCAAACGGAAGAAAAACCCCGAAAUGAUAUUUUCCCGAACGGGAGAAGUCCAGGGGGCUUUUGGGCCAAGCCAGGUGGGCUCCAAGGAGCUCACAAGCCCCCACUCCGCCACCAGGGGAGGCGGCGGUGGGCAGGCUUGUGGCCUCCCUGGCUGCCCCCUGACCUAGGUCUUUGGCCUAUAAAUUCCCAAAUAUUCCGCAAAAAAUCACGGGAGCCUCGAAAAUACUUUUCCACCGCUGCAAGCUUCCGUUUCCGCGAGAUCUCAUCUGGAGACCCUUCCCGGCACCCUGUCGGAGGGGACUUUGGAGUUGGAGGGCUUAUUCAUCAUCAUCAUCACCCCUCCAAUGACUCGUGAGUAGUUCACUUCACACCUACGGGUCCGUAGUUAGUAGCUAGAUGUCUUCUUCUCUCUCUUGGAUCUUCUAUACAAAGUUCUCCAUGAUCUUCAUGGAGAUCUAUCCGAUGUAAUCUUCUUUGGCGGAGUGUUUGUCGAGAUCCGAUGAAUUGUGGACUUGUGAUCAGAUUAUCUAUGAUAUAUAUUUGAGUCUUUGCUGAUUUCUUAUAUGCAUGAUUUGAUAUCCUUGUAAGUCUCUCCGAGUCUUGGGUUUUGUUUGGCCAACUAGAUCUAUGAUUCUUGCAAUGGGAGAAGUGCUUGGUUUUGGGUUCUGCCAUGUGGUGACCUUUCCCAGUGACAGUAGGGGCAACAAGGCACACAUCAAGCAGUUGCCAUCAAGGGUAAAAAGAUGGGGUUUUUAUCAUUGGUUUGAGAUUAUCCCUCUACAUCAUGUCAUCUUGCUUAAGGCAUUACUCUGUUCUUAUGGACUUAAUACACUAGAUGCAUGCUGGAUAGCGGUCGACGUGUGGAGUAAUAGUAGUAGAUGCAGAAAGUAUCGGUCUACAUGUUUCAGACGUGAUGCCUAUAGAAAUAAUCAUUGCAUAGAUAUCGUCAUGACUCUACACAGUUCUAUCAAUUGCUCGACAGUUAUUUGUUCACCCACCGUCUACUUGCUUUCAUGAGAGAAGCCACUAGUAAACACUACGGCCCCCGGGUCUAUUCACAUCCAUCGUUUACAUCUCCGCUUUUACCUUGCUUUGAUACUUUGUUGCUUUCAGUUCUCACUUGGCAAACAAUCUAUAAGGGAUUGACAAACCCUCCAUAGCGCUGGGUGCAAGCUUUUGUGUUUGUGCAGGAUCUUGAGAUACUCUUCCGCCGGAUUGAUACCUUGGUUCUCAAACUAAGGGAAAUACUUACCAUCGCUAUGCUACAUCACCCUUUCCGCUUCGAGGGAACACCAACGCAAGGCUCCAAGGCCACGGGGGAAAUCCUUUGCAUACUUGCCUAGGAAGUCCCUUAAGGCAUAGCCGUAGCUGAAGGAUUCCUGGUGCCGUCGACACAACUAUUUCUGGCGCCGUUGCAAGGGAUACACAGCAAAUAUCAGAAGUAUUUCUGGCGCCGUUGCCGGGGAGGAGAAAUCAAGAUCUAUCCAAGUAGGUCUCACAAACUCUUCUCUUGCAUUUACUUUUGUUGCCAGUUGCCUCUCGUUUUCCUCUCCCCCACUUCACAUUUGCCUUUCUCCUUUGACUUUUUUGUUUGCUAUUUUUGUUCGCCCUUUUCUCUCGCUUGCUUUAUGUUCACUUGUGUGUCAUGUGCCUUCAAAAUGCUUGCAUCUUCGCUUGCUGAAAAUCUAUUGAUAUGGAUCCUCAUCCACUAGCUAGUCUCUUUAAGAGACCCACUAUUGUGGAACGAAUUGCUAGUGAGUUGAGGGCAAUUGACUUUUUCUAUGGAGUUUUGCUUAAGAUGCGUGAAUCUGAAAAUUGCGAGGAAGAAAUUCAUGAAGUGAUUCACGAGGGCUCAUUGGAUGAAAAGCAUGAUUGCAAUGGUUUCACUACAAAUUCUAUUAGUGACAAUCAUGCUAAAAUUAUGCAAAACCCUAAGCUUGAGGAUGCUAGUCUUGCUAUGACCACUACUUGUAGCAAAGAUCAUGAUUGGGGUGAGGAUUUUUCUUCUGAUCUUGAAAAUUUGUUCAAGCCUCAAGAUGAAUAUGAUAUUUGCAAUAUUAUUGAAAGUGGGUUUGGAGAAGUCAUGACUUUAGAUGAUAAUCCCACUAUUUUUGAAGAGCGUCAACUUUGCAUGCAUGUGGAUCAUGAAAAGAAUAUCCUAUGGGAUAGCUAUAUUGUUGAAUUUGAAUAUGAUCCCACAUGUAAUUGCUAUGAGGGAGGAAAAUAUUUUGGUAGAAACUUUCAUGUUACCAAAUCACCUCUCGUGAUGUUGAGAUUGCUCUUGUCUCUUUCUUCUUCCUUGCAUAUGGCAGCUAUUGGUUGUCUUGACAAUUUGUUUUGCUAUAAAAUGCCUAUGCAUAGGAAGUAUGUUAGACUUAUAUGUGAUUUUCACAUGCUUUAUGAUGCUCUCGUUGUGCUUCAAUUCUUGUCUUUUGUGAGAGCAUCAUUGAAUGCCUAGCUAAGGGCGUUAAACAAAAACGCUUGUUGGGAGGCAAUUCAACGAAUCUAUCCUUUUUCUUUCUGUUUUGUGUUUUUCACACUUUCAUAAUUCUGUUAUGAUUGUGUUUUUGUGUUUCUUUUUGCGUUUGUGCCAAGCAAAACCGUUAUGAUUAGUCUUGAGGAUGAUCGUUUGGUCAUGUUGGAAAAGACAAAAACUUUCUGCUCACGAAAAGAAUUUUCAUUUUUUUUCUGUAAGUGUUUUUGAGUUUAUUCUUUUUGCUGCUGAUUUCUACGCUAAUUCUUCAGACUGUCGUAAGUUUUCAGAAGUUUUGAUGUACCAUAGGUAUACGAAACAUACAGAUUUAUAUAGACUGGUCUGCUGUUAACAGAUUCUGUUUUUGUUGUGUUGGUUGCUUAUUUUGAUGAAACUAUGGAUAGUAUCAGGGGGUAUUAGCCAUGGAAGAUUGAAAGUACAGUAACCCAACAUCAGCACAAGUAGAAUUUAAGUUUGCUACAGUACCUAAGGAAGUGGUGGUUUGCUUUCUUGUACUAAUGUUAUCACGAGUUUCUGUUUAAGUUUUGUGUUGUGAAGUUUUCAAGUUUUGGGUGAAGUUCUUAUGGACAAAAAGAUAAAGAGUGGCAAGAGCUCAAGCUUGGGGAUGCCCAAGGCACCUCAAGAGACUCAAGUAUGCCGUAAAAGCCUAAGCUUGGGGAUGCCCCGGGAAGGCAUCCCCUCGCUCGUCUUCAAUCCAUCGGUAACGUUACUUGGGGCUAUAUUUUUAUUCACCGCAUGUUAUGUGUUUUUUCUUGGAGCGUCUUGUAUCGUAGGAGUCUUUUAUUUUUGUUGUGUCACAAUCAUCCUUGCUGCACACCUAGAUAGAGAUACAUGCACACACCGUGAUUUUGUCGAGCUUCACUUAUAUCUUUUGGUAGACAAUUCAGCUCACAUGUGCUUCACUUAUAUCUUUUGAGCUAGAUACUUUUUCUCUAUGUGCUUCACUUAUAUAUUUUAGAGCACAGCGGUGCGUGGCUUGGUAGUUGAUCUAUGCUUUGAAAGUAGUCUCAAAAGGGGUAGUUAUCCAAAGGGAUACGAAAACUUCCACCCUCAUGUGCAUUGAAUAGUUAGAGAAGUUUGAUUCAUCUCAAUUAGUUUUGAGUUGUGGUUAUGGUAAUAUUGAAGUCAUGCUUGUAAGGUAUUGUGGAUCUAGGAAUACUUGUGUUGAAGUUAGUGAUUCCCGUAGCAUGCACGUAUGGUGAACCGCUAUGUGAUGAAGUCUGAGCAUGAUUAGUAUAUUGGUUUUCAUCCUUUGCCUGGCGGUCGGGAUCACGCGAUGGUUUAUACCUACCAACCAUUCCCCUAGGAGUAUGCGUUGAAUGCUUUGUUUCGAUUACUAAUAAAACUUUUGCAACAAGUAUAUGAGUUCUUCAUGACUAAUGUUGAGUCCAUGGUUUAGAUGCACUUUCACCUUCCACCAUCAUUAUCUUCUUAGUGCCAUGCAACUUCCGUCGGUGCACAAAACCCACCAUUAGCCUCCCUCAAAACAGCCACCAUACCUACCUACUAUGGCUAUUUCAAAGUCAUUCCGAGAUAUAUUGCCAUGAAACUACCACCAUGAUAUGUGCCACCACGUCUACAUUGCCAUUACAUGAUCGUAAGAUAGAUAGCAUGCUGUUUCCAUUGAUGUCUAUGCCAUGCUAGAUCAUUGCCAUGGUACACUACCGAAGGCAUUCCAUAUAGAGUCAUAGUUGCUCUAAGUUUUGAGUUGAAAGUGUGAUUCAUUAUUGGAGCAUUGUCCCAUGUGAGGAAAUAAAAGAGGCCAAAGAAGCCCAUAAAAAAAAGAGGCCAAAGAGCCCGCCAAAAUAAAAAAAAUGAGAGAAAAAGAGAGAAGGGACAAUGCUACCACUUUUUCCACACUUGUGCAUAUUGAGCACCAUAAUCUUCAUGAUUGAGAGUCUCUCGUUUUGUCACCACCAUAUAGCUAGUGGGAAAUUCUCAUUAUAUAACUUGGCUUGUAUAUUCCAAUGAUAGGCUUCCUCAAAAUUGCCUUAGGUCUUCGUGAGCAAGCAAGUUGGAUGCACACCCACUAGUUUUCUUUAAGAGCUUUCACAUACUUGUAGCUCUAGUGCAUCAUUUGUAUGGCAAUCCCUACUCAUUCACAUUGGUAUCUAUUGAUGAGCAUCUCCACAGCUCAUUUAUAUGCCUAGUUAAUGUGACUAUCUUCUCCUUUUUGUCUUGCAACCUCCACCACAUUUCACCCAUCUAUAGUGCUAUAACCAUGUCUCACGCUCAUGUAUUGCGUGAGAGUUGAAAAUGUUUGAGAAAGUAAAGGUGUGAAACAAUUACUUGGCCAAUACCGGGGAUGUGCAUGAUUUAAAUUCGUUGUGCAAUGAUGAUAGAGCAUAGACAGACUAUAUGCUUUUGUAGGGAUAAGUUUCUUUUGGCCUUGUUAUUUUGAAAGUUCAUGAUUACUUUGCUAGUUUGCUUGAAUUAUUAUUGUUUCCACGUCAAUAGCAAACUAUUGUUUUGAAUCUAAUGGAUCUGAACAUUCACGUCACAUAAGAGGAAUUACAAAGGACACCUAUGCUAGGUAGCAUGAAAGCAUCAAAAAUUCAUUCUUAUCACUUCCCUACUCGAGGACGAGCAUGAGUUAAGCUUGGGGAUGCUUGAUACGUCUCAAACGUAUCUGUAAUUUUUGAUGGUUUCACGCUGUUAUCUUGCCUUCUUUGUAUGUUUUAUGUACCUUUUUAUAUCUUUUUGGGACUAACUUAUUAAUUAAGUGCCAAGUGCCAGUUCCUGUUUUUUCCGUGUUUUUGACUCUUUUCAGAUCUGAUUUUGGAACGGAAUCCAAACGGAAGAAAAACCCCGAAAUGAUUUUUUCCCGAACGGAAGAAGUCCAGGGGGCUUUUGGGCCAAGCCAGGUGGGCUCCAGGGAGCCCACAAGACCCCACUCCGCCACCAGGGGGACACGGCGGUGGGCAGGCUUGUGGCCUCCCUGGCCGCCCCCUGACCUAGGUCUUUGGCCUAUAAAUUCCCAAAUAUUCCGCAAAAAAUCAGGGGAGCCUCGAAAAUACUUUUCUGCCGCCGCAAGCUUCCGUUUCCGCGAGAUCUCAUCUGGAGACCCUUCCCGGCACCCUACCGGAGGGGACUUUGGAGUUGGAGGGCUUCUUCAUCAUCAUCGUCGCCCCUCCAAUGACUCGUGAGUAGUUCACUUCAGACCUACGGGUCCGUAGUUAGUAGCUAGAUGGCUUCUUCUCUCUCUUGGAUCUUCAAUACAAAGUUCUUCAUGAUCUUCAUGGAUAUCUAUUCGAUGUAAUAUUUUUUGGCGGUGUGUUUGUCGAGAUCCGAUGAAUUGUGGACUUGUGAUCAGAUUAUCUAUGAUAUAUAUUUGAGUCUUUGCUGAUUUCUUAUAUGCAUGAUUUGAUAUCCUUGUAACUCUCUCCGAGUCUUGUGUUUUGUUUGGCCAACUAGAUCUAUGAUUCUUGCAAUGGGAGAAGUGCUUGGUUUUGGGUUCUGCCAUGUGGUGACCUUUCCCAGUGACAGUAGGGGCAGCAAGGGACACAUCAAGCAGUUGCCAUCAAGGGUAAAAAGAUGGGGUUUUUAUCAUUGGUUUGAGAUUAUCCCUCUACAUCAUGUCAUCUUGCUUAAGGCGUUACUCUGUUCUUAUGGACUUAAUACACUAGAUGCAUGUGUGGAUAGCGGUCGACGUGUGGAGUAAUAGUAGUAGAUGCAGAAAGUAUCGGUCUACUUGUUUCGUACGUGAUGCCUAUAGAAAUAAUCAUUGCAUAGAUAUCGUCAGGACUCUACACAGUUCUAUCAAUUGCUCGACAGUAAUUUGUUCACCCACGUCUACUUGCUUUCAUGAGAGAAGCCACUAGUAAACACUACGGCCCCCGGGUCUAUUCACAUCCAUCGUUUACAUCUCCGCUUUUACCUUGCUUUGUGACUUUGUUUCUUUCAGUUCUCACUUGGCAAACAAUCUAUAAGGGAUUGACAACCCCUUCAUAGCGUUGGGUGCAAGCUUUUGUGUUUGUGCAGGAUCUUGAGAUACUCUUCCGCCGGAUUGAUACCUUGGUUCUCAAACUGAGGGAAAUACUUACCGUCGCUGUGCUACAUCACCAUUUCCGCUUAGAGGGAACACCACCGCAAGGCUCAAAGGCCACGGGGGAAAUCCUUUGCAUACUUGCCUAGGAAGUCCCUUAAGGCGUAGCCGUAGCUGAAGGAUUCCUGGUGCCGUCUACACAACUAUUUCUGGCGCCUUUGCAAGGGAUACACAGCAAACAUCAGAACCCAAAGCGGAAAAGUGCGUCUUCAUAGGUUACCCAAAAGAGACAGUUGGGUACACAUUCUAUCUCAGAUCCGAGGGCAAAGUGUUUGUUGCUAAGAACGUAGCUUUUCUUGAGAAGGAGUUUCUCUCGAAAGAAUUGAGUGGGAGGAAGAUCGAACUUGAUGAGGUUGUGGAACCUCUGCUCCCUGUAGAUGGUGGCAUAUGGCAGAGAGAAAUUUGUGUUGAGGCAACACCGGUUGAGGAGGAAGCUAAUGAUGGUGAUCAUAAAGCUUCGGAUCAAGUUACUGUCAGACCUCGCAGGUCAACAAGAUCAUGUACUGCUCCCGAGUGGUACUAGAAUCCUGUCUUAUCUAUCAUGUUGUUAGAAAACAAUGAGCCCGCGAAUUAUGAAGAAGCAAUGGUGGACCUGGAUUCCGACAAAUGGUUAGAGGCCAUGAAGUCCGAGAUAGGAUCUAUGUAUGAAAACAAAGUAUGGACUUUCGAAGUAUUACAUGAAGGUCGCAAGGCUAUUCAGAACAAAUGGAUCUUUAAGAAGAAGACGGAUGCGGACGGUAAUGUGACCGUUUAUAAAGCUCGACUUGUGGCAAUGGGUUUUUCACAAGUUCAAGGAGUUGACUACGAUGAGACAUUCUCACCGGUAGCGAUGCUUAAGUCCGUCCAAAUCAUGUUAGCAAUACUUGCAUAUUUCGAUUAUGAAAUCUAGCAGAUGGAUGUGAAAACGGUGUUCCUUAAUGGUUUUCUUAAGGAAGAGUUGUAUAUGAUGCAACCCGAAGGUUUUGUCGAUCCGAAGAAUGCUAACAAAGUAUGCAAGCUCCAGCGAUCCAUUUAUGGACUGCUGCAAAUCUCAGAGUUGGAAUAAGCGCUUCGAUGAGGUGAUCAAGGCAUUUGGGUUUAUACGAGUUGUUGGAGAAUCUUGGAUUUCCAAGAAAGUGAGUGGGAGAUCUGUAGGAUUUCUAAUAUUAUACGUGGAUGACAUAUUGCUGAUUGGAAACAAUGUGGAGUUUUUAGAGAGCGUAAAGGAUUACUUGAACAAAUGUUUUUCAAUGAAAGACCUAGGAGAAGCUGCUUACAUAUUGGGCAUUAAGAUCUAUAGGGAUAGAUCGAGGCGCCUAAUAAGACUUUCACAAAGCACAUACCUUAAUAAAGUUAAAAAUGGAGCAGUCCAAGAAGGGUUCUUGCCAGUGUUACAAGAUAUAAAGUUGAGUAAGACUCAGUGUCCAGUAAGUGCGGAAGAUAGAGAAAAGAUGAGUACCGUCCCCUAUGCUUCAACCAUUGGGUCUAUCAUGUAUGCAAUGUUGUGCACGAGACUGGACGUCAGCCUGGCCACAAAUAUGGCAGGCAGGUUUCAAAGUGAUCCAGGAGUGGAAUACUGGGCGGCGGUCAAGAAUAUUCUGAAGUACCUGAAAGGACUAAUGAAUGUUUCUCGUUUAUGGAAGUGAUGAAGAGCUCGUCGUAAAGGGUUACGUCGAUGCAAGCUUUGACACUGAUCCGGAUGACUCUAAUUCUCAAACGAGAUACGUAUUUAUUCUCAAUGGGGUGCGGUAAGCUGGUGCAGUUCCAAGUAAAGCGUCAUAGCAGAUUCUACAUGUGAAGCGGAGUACAUGGCUGCAUUGAAGGAAGCUAAGGAAGGUGUCUGGAUGAAGCAGUUCAUGACGGAUCUUGGAGUUGUGCCGAGCACACUAAAUCCAAUAACUCUGUUCUGUGACAACACUGGUGCCAUUGCUCUAGCAAAGCAACCAAGGUUUCACAAGAAGACCAGACACAUCAAACGACGCUUCAACCUCAUCUGCGACUAUGUCGAAGGAGAGGACGUAAAUAUUUGCAAAGUGCACACGGAUCUGAAUGUUGCAGAUCCGCUGACUAAACAUCUUCCACGAGCGAAGCAUGAUCAACACCAGAACAGUAUGGGUCUUAGAUUCAUUCCAAUGUAAAUCGCAUAGCGAUGUGAGACUAGAUUACUUACUCUAGUGCAAGUGGGAGACUAUUGGAAAUAUUCCCUAGAGGCAAUGAUAAAAUAGUUAUUAUUACAUUUCCUGUUUCAAGAUAAUCGUUUAUUAUCCAUGCUAUAGUUGUAUUGAAUGAACACAUAAAUGCACGUGUGGAUAUAUAGAGAAAACAAUGUCCCUAGUAAGCCUCUAGUUGACUAGCCAGUUGAUCAUGGAUGGUUAAGGUUUUCUGACCAUAUGCAAGUGUUGUCACUUGAUGAAUGGAUCACAUCAUUAGGAGAAUGAUGUGAUGGACAAGACCCAAACUAUAAACGUAGCAUGUGAUUGUGUUACUUUGUUGCUAUUGUCUUCUGCGUGUCAAGUAUUCAUUCCUAUGACCAUGAGAUCUUGUAACUCACUGCCACCAGAGGAAUACCUUGUGUGUAUCAAACGUCGCAACGUUACUGGGUGACUAUAAAGGUGCUCUAUAGGUAUCUCUGAAGGUGUCCAUUGAGUUAGCAUGGAUCACCACUAGGAUUUGUCACUCCGUGUGACGGAGAAGUAUCUCGGGGCCCACUCGGUAAUACAACAUCACAUAUAAGCCUUGCAAGCAAUUUGACUCAAGUGUUAGUCACUGUAUCUUGUAUUACGGAAGGAGUAAAGAGACUUGCCGCUAACGAGAUUGAAAUAGGUAUAGGGAUACCGACGAUCAAAUCUCGGGCAAGUAACAUACCAGAGGACAAAGGGAAUGGUAUACAAGAUUAUAUGAAUCCUUAGCACAGAGGUUCAACCGAUAAGAUAUUUGUAGAAUAUGUAGGAUCCAACAUGGACAUCCAGGUCCCGCUGUUGGAUAUUGACCGGGGAGUGUCUCAGGUCAUGUCUGCAUAGUUCUCGAACUCGCAGGAUCUGCACACUUAAGGUUCGAUGACGUUUCGGUAUAGUUGAGUUAUAGGUGUUGGUGGACAAAGUUUGUUCGUAGUCCCAUAUGAGAUCAAGGAUGUCACAAAGGGUUUCCAGAAUGGUCUGAAAAUGAAGAUUGAUAUAUAGGAUUGUUUCAUUUGGCCUCCAGAAAGAUUUCUGGUAUUACCGGCAGUGUACCGGGAGUGACGAAUGGGUUCUGGGUCUUUACCGGGAGGGACCCACCUACCCGGGAGAGAACCCAAUAGCCUAAGGGUUGCUCACCAGCCCUUAGUGGGCUGGUGAGGCCAGCCCAAGUGGGUUAUGUCGGCUAGAAGGAAAAAAUCAAAGGAAAAAAAGAGGGAGGUGGGAAGGAAGGAGGGGAUUCAUCCCCUUCCAAAUCGAAUUGGAGUUGGAAUCUCCUCCUCCUUUCUCGGCCGACGCCCUAGGGGCUCUCUUGAGCCCCAAGGCUAGCCCCUCCCCUCCUCCUAUAUAUACUAGAGAUUUUAGGGUUUUUGAGACACAACUUUUGCCACGUGCAACCCUAAACCUCUACUUCGUAGUUCUUCCUCUAGAACGGGUUUCUGUGGAGCUCGGGCAGAGCCCAGCAGGAAUAGAUCAUCACCAUCACCGGCGCGUCGUCACGCUGCCAGAGAACUCAUCUACAUCCCCAUCUCUCUUGCUGGAUCAAGAAGGCUGAGAUCAAAAUCGAGUUGUACGUGUGCUGAACGCGGAGGUGUCGUCCGUUCGGCUCUAGUUCGGAACGGAUCGUGGGACGACAGUGAUUUGAAUCAUGAAGCUGUUCCACUACAUCAACCACGUUUCUUAAUGCUUCCCGCUGAGCGAUCUACAAGGGUAUGUGGAUCCGAUCUCCCUCUCAUAGAUGAACAUCACCAUGAUAGGUCUUCGUGUGCGUAGGAAAUUUUUUGUUUCCCAUGCAACGUUCCCCAACAUGUUUUUCACGUGCUGUUUUUUGCAAGUAACUCUCCAUCAAGUCACUGUAAUUGAGAAGUGAUAUACAGAUGUAAAGCUAUUGUAAACACACAACUUUUUUGUGUUGAUGCUGUUGUUUCAUACUCGCGACGGUUUAAAAUAUAUUCAUAUGACAUUCAUGCAGUGUAUUAGUUGACCUUCCCCGAGUGCUAGGUUGAACUUCCACUAAUAUUGUCCAAAUGGGGCUUGCAAUAUAUAGUUGGAAAGCUAUGGGCACCAUGAUAACAACCUAGGUUGAAUUUUUGUCAAAAUGUUCAUGGUUUAAGAGCUGUUUUGAAAACCGUUUUUGUUCAUACAAAAAAGGUGAAUCGUGUUAUCAAGGCUAUUUCUAAACCGUUCGUGGGAAUGAGACUAAUGAGAUUGCUAUAAAUCCUCUCAUUUCAUAUGUUUAAAGUUUUCCCAAUUUUCCUACGGUUAAAGAGGAAUUUCAAAAAUGGCGGAAUUUCUGAAACCGAAAAGUUGGGUACAUAUUUCGGGGUUAAUUUGAAAAUGGCUAGUACGAUAGACACAAAUGAUAUGUCGUUAGAAACUUAUGAAAAUGUGCAUAUUUUAUUAUAAAUAGUUUCUUCUACUAUUAACGGUUUAAAAGUAAUUUAGAAAACGGCACAAGUUGUACCGAGUUCGUAUUUUAGCGUUAACUUCACAAUGGUUUGUCGGAACGGAGCAAAUGAUCUCACGUUGGAAAGAUAAUGAAAUACGACACUUUUAUAUGUAGAUUUUUUUCCAAUUACUUAUGGUUUUUAGUCAGUUUUAAAAAUGGGUAAAAAUGUUUUUUGGCCGCAGGUUUUACAAACUUUAUCAAAAUGGGUCAAAUAAUAUACCGCUGAAAAGCUACAGUAAAUGAAAAAAAAUGAUGUAGAUAGUUUUCUCUCAUUCCUAGCCGUUUUUAAGGCAUCUUGAAAACAAUGAGAUCAUGCGUUCUUCCUGUAUUGUGAAAAAGAUUCUUGGAAAAUGCACCGCGUGAAGAACGUGAUCUUCUCGGCUUGUCUCCAUGAACUUCACUUUGUUUUUUCACGUGUUGUUUUUUAUAGUACACUCCAUCCACUCACCGGAAUUGAGAAAAUGAUAUACCGAUGGAAAACUGCUGUAAAUACGCAACUUUUCCAUGUUGGGGAUUUGUUCAUACCCGGGGUAGUUUAAAAUAUUUUCAUGUGAAAUUCAUGCAGUGUAGUAGUUUAACUUUCCGCUGUUUUCACAUCGAACUUCUAUCGCGUAUUUUCGUUUGUAAUUUCUCACCCAUUUGUCGGUGUUACACAAAUGAUAUUCCUUUUGUACAUACCUGUCUCACAAUAAUUGUUUUUCACUUUCUCCAACCGAGGACUUGAAUUUAUAGCAACAAAAAAUGUGGACCUUGGCUUUUUAUUCAUUUUUGUCACACCAAACACACACCAUGUAGUACGUGAACUUUCUCCAUUUUUUUAAUUUCAAUUUUUGAAUUUUUUUAAAUCGAAUUACUCCCAAAUAAUAGCUAAAAUUAUUUGUGGGUUCAGAGAAUUAUUAUAAAUAGAAAAAAUAAUUUCUUUUUCUGUUUUUGAACAUGGAAAUACAAGGUGAACCUAUCUUGCAAGCAUUUUUGAACUCACACGGGCCGAGCACGUGAACUUCUUUCAACAAACCUUUUAAGCUUUUAUAUUCCUAUUCGCUUAUUCUCAUAUGAAACACAUUCCUUGUAGUACUUAGACUUCUCACUGUUUUCACUAUGAACUUUUGUCAUGUUUUUUGUUUGUAAUUCCUCAACCGCUCCUUGGAGUUACACAAAUGAUGUACCAUUAGAAAAUCCAUUGAAAAGAAACAACUUUUUCUAAUACGGUUAACUUUUCUUUUUGAACAACAUACAACAAUUUUUCAUGGAUUGAGAGACUUACUGAAAAACACCAAAAGAACACUUCUUUGAACUUCAACCAAAACUCAAUUAUAUUUUAAACAUCACAACGAAUAGUAGCUAUUUGAAAAAAUUUCAAAUUAGUUACAUGUGUAUUUUUUUGGAUCAUUGUAGUUUCAAAAAAACAUAGGCACAUAAGGGAGAGAGAAUUAUGUAUGCAUAAAGUGGAUAGCAAUUUUGAAAUUUCCCUUGCCAAGAACUUGAACUUCUAGCAGCAAAAGUUUACAUUUUGUGAGUUGGUUUUAAAAAUUCCAAAAAUGGCGAUGGGUUUUGUUUUUGUUUUUUGAACAAGCAAAUCCUAGGUUCUAAUAAACACUAAAUUUUGUGUCAUUUUAAUUAGAACUUCAUAUUGGUUUUAUUUUCUAAUAGCGGUUAGAAUUCGAGAUUUUAAUAAACAUUGAACCGCUCCAUUAUAUGAAAUUGAACUUCUAGGUCUUUUUAGAAAUGGAUAAAUAGAUUUACUAAUUAAACUUUUUAAACUAUUUUUGUUAUUUAAUUUGGUCUUCCGUUGUGUGUAUUUUGAUGGUGCGUACCUUUUUUGUUAGAACAUGUUCGUAUAAACGUAGUCUAUUAAAAUUCUUUCACUUAUAGGCUAGUUCUAAUACAUGAUAUUUCUACACAAUGAUCUAUGAACUUCUCUUAACAUAAAUUUCAUUGAGCAUUUUUCUAACCACGAAACAUACAUGAAGGAGGUUGAGGUUGUGCAUGCGAGAUGCAUCACCAUGUAGGAAAGUUUCGGGAGCUCUUUUAACAAUGCAGGGUCAAAAGUAGUCUCACAUCCAUCAAACUUCAUAACCACGAGUUUUGAACUUGCAAAAAUGUUAAAAUGAAGACUUAUUUUUCCUAGUAAAUGUAGUCCUAAAUAGACAGGAUAAGAGUCAGCAAGCACAACAGUACUGGUGCAUUACAUAUUCCCAGCGAUACGAGUUGUUGUUUGGUCCUAUCUCUUCUUCAACAACUUAAAAAAAAAUAAGUACUAUCAAUCACAUCACCCAGACUCACAAACAGGGCACACCAUAUGAUUUUUAGGAUACCUAGUAUGAGUGAUAAUGGAAAAAAAUAAUAAGCUUCGUAGUAUACUGAUCAAAAUGUUGAAGUACACACAAGAGACCUUCAGCUUCAGAUAACAAUAUGUUGUCUCAGAAAUUAUCUAAUCAAUCAUGUAGAAGCUAAGAAAUUAAAACAAAGAGAAAAAAAUCUCCCUAAAUGUACUAAAAACAUCUCUGAACCUUUCUUCAUAAUCACUCUCAACUUCAAUCCUCCUCAAACCACGUGAUUUUCUGCUACAAAAUAGGACGAGUUGUUCCUUGUGGUGCUACCACAUAACUAACCUGUGAUCGAGCUUGUGUUCAUGAAUAUCUCCACCGCUGAGAUUGAAAGUUGAACGACCUAAUGCUAUGUUAUGUUAGUUCUAUACAAUCCAAGAGCCAUCCAUUGCAGAGCAUCAAAGUUAAAGGGGCCUAUAGAGCUACAAAAUUGAACAAUUUGGACACGCGGUGGCAAAUGGACUAGACAAACAACAGUAUAUAACAUUUUGUGCACUUUUGCAGAAGACUUCUUGGCAUAAAAGCUUGAAUUCACAGGAAAUGUUUCCAUACAAUUUUUUUUUCUGAUUUUGCACACAACGCGUUUGUGAGUGCAUGCGAGAGAAGCAUAAAAAAACAACUUGAUGUCCCUUUAGAGUCAACUUCUUCAACAAGUCACUUUGAAUUUCACAUAAACAAAUUGAAAAAAAUAAAACUACAGUACCACAACCAUUCUCAUCUAUUUAAGUUAUAUUUCCAUUCACUUAGAAUAUAGUGCUACCUCGACUUUAGAUUCAAAUUUCAACAAUUAAGGAAUACUUGAAGAAAACAGUCUAGUAUUUUGUUGGCAUUUCAACACAUACGUGGAUGGCAUAAAGGUUGAGGUGCAAGUGAACAACUUGAACUUCUCCAACGCUAAUGCCAGUUGCAAUAACUUGCAUUACACACACCGUAUGUAUCAGAUUAUUGUGAUUUAGGGGCACAAAAAAGAAAUUUCAUGAACAGGAGAUGAAACUGUAACCGUAGAUCAAUCACCGUUAAUUACUGAUAUGUCUUCAUCGUAUUUACUUUUUCUAAUGCCUUUUCUUUUGUUUUGGACCCUAAUUUGCAUGAUUUGAAUAAAAGUAACCCAGACUAACGCUGUUUUCAGUAGAACUCCCAUGACGUUGUUUUUGUGGAGAAAUAAAAGUUCUCGGAAUUAGACGAAACUUUCUGGAGCAUUUUUGUGGAAUAAAAGAAAAAUACUGGAACCAAGACCUACUAAGAGGGGGGCCCAGACACCCACUAGUCACCAGGAUGCGCCACCCCCUACCGCAGAUUGGUGGGUGGUGGGGCCCUUGGGGCUCCACUGACCCUAACUCUAGCACUAUAAAAUCCUAUAUUUGGAGAAAAAAUAGGAUAGGAAGGUUCAUCAUGUUUCAUGAUAUGGAGCCGCCGCCACCUCAUCUUCUUCAUCGUUGGGCCAAAUCUGGAGUUCUUUUGCGGCUCAAAAGAGGGGAAUCUUUGGUCUUUGUCAUCAUCAACCCUCCUUCAUCGCCAAUUCCAUGAUGCUCUCCACCAGAGUGAGUAAUUCCUUCGUCGGCUUGCUGGUCGGUGAGAAGCUGGAUGAGAUUCAUCAUGUAAUCGAGUUAGUUUCAUUAGGGCUUGAUCCCUGGUAUCCACUAUGUUGGGAGACAGAUGUUGCUAUGACUUUGCCAUGCUUAAUGCUUGUCACUAGGGCCUGAGUGCCAUGAUUUCAGAUCUGAACUAUUUAUGUUUUCACCAUUAUAUCUAUGUUCUUGAUCCGAUCUUGGAACUUAUAUGCAACUACUAUGUGUUAGGAUCCGCAUACCCCAAAGUGACAAUAAUUGGGAUACUUUUCGAUAAUUACCGUAGUAUGAGGAGUUCAUGUAUUCACUAUAUGUUAAUGCUCUGUUCCAGUUCUCUAUUAAAAGUAGGCCUUAAUAUCCCUUAGUUUCCUUAUGGACCCCGCCACCACGGUAGGGUAGGACAAAAGAUGUCAUGGAAGUUCUUCUCGAUAAGCACGUAUGACUAUUUACGGAAUACAUGCCUAAAGUAUAUCGAUGAACGGGAACUAGUUCUGUAUCGCCAUAUGUUACGACUAAUUCAUGAUGAAUAUCAUCCAACAAUAUCACUGAUCGAGUGCCUACGAGUUUUCCACAUAUUGUGCUUGCUAAGUUACUACUGUUGCUACUGUUGUUACAACUGCUACAAAAUUGUUAUCGCUAUUACCAUUAUUGUUGCUACUCUUACCACUUAUAUCAAAACUAUCAUAUUACUGUGCUACUGAUCACUGUGCUGCAGAUACUAAAUCUCCAAGUGUGGUUGAAUUGACAACUCAACUUCUAAUACCUGCAAAUAUUAUUUGGCUCCCCUUGUGUCGAAUCUAUAAAUUUGGGUUGAAUACUCUACCCUCGAAAACUAUUGCGAUCCCAUAUACUUGUGGGUUAUCAAGAAUGUUUUCUGGCACCGUCGCCAAGGAGCAUAGCUAUAAUUGUUGAGUGACUUUGGAUAUCUAUUUAUUGAUCACUAUGAAGAAUCUAAAAGAUACGAGAACCAAGAUCAUUCCCUCUAAGAUGACGGGUGGUAAGGAACUGCCAUCUAGCUUAGCACUUGAUUCACCUUGUGUUUUGAAUAAUCUUGCAACACCACCAUCACAUGCUAUUAAUCCUAAUAUGUUGCAAGUUAUUGUUGAUGUUACCUAUGCUAUGAAUGAUACUAAUGAUGAUGCUAGUACCUUGCUCGAUGAUACUGCACCAUUAGGUGAAUUUCUUGAUGAACAACUUGCUAGAGCUAAAGAAAUUUAACAUGCUAAAACUGAUGAAGUCUCUGAAACUGAAAAUAUUGAAACACCUUUGUGACAUGACUAUCCUAGAAUUAAAAUGCCUGAAGUACAUGAAGGUUAUGUUAUGGAUGAAUAAAUAGCUAGAGACUUUUUUGCUUGUGAGGAUAGAUAAUAUCUUAAGAAACUACUCUGCAAGUAGAAAGAAAAACCCUUGAAUGCUAGAAUGAAAUAUAAUCCUAAGUUUUCUAAUUCACCUAUCUUUGUUACCGAUAAGGAUUAUGAAUUCUCUAUCGACCGAGAGAUAAUUACUUUGGUUAAAUCUGAUCCUUUUCGUGGCUAUGAAAAUUAAACUCUUGUGGCACAUCCCACUAAGUUAAAUGAUAUAACCACCCUAUUUACUCAUGAUGAGAAAAAUCGGUACUACUAUAUUCUAAAAUUAUUUUCGUUCUCAUUGAAGGGUGAUGCUAAGAUUUGGUACAAUACUCUUACUCCUGGUUGUGUGUGUAGUCCCCAGGAUAUGAUUCACUACUUCUCUAAAAAGUAUGUUCCUACUCAUAAGAAACAAGUUGCCUUACAAGAAAUAUUUAACUUUGUGAAUAUUGAAGAAGAGAGUCUCCAACAAGCUUGGGGAGGCUUUUCCAAUUAAUUAAUGCUUUGCGUGAUUAUCCUCUUAAUAAGAAUGAAAUACUUGAUAUAUUUUAUAAUGGACUAACCGAUGCUUUUAGGGACCACUUAGAUAGUUGUGAUGUUUGUGUUAUCAGGGAACAAACUAUCGAACAAGCUGAGGAGUUAUUGACUAAUAUAUUCAAGAAUUGGGACGAAUGGACACUUCCUGAGCCACCACCUAAAUCUACUCCACAGAAGAGGGGUAUCUUAUUCCUUAGUCUUGAAACUAUGCAUGAGGCAAAGAAAUGUAUGAUGGAAAAAAUGCAUUAAAGCUGAAGAUGUUAAGAAUUUACCACCCGUCAAAGAAAUACAUGGUCUCAACACACCACCAUAGGUGGUGGAGGUAAAUUCUCUUUUAAAGUUUGCUGAAGGUGACAUCCCUUACAAUAAACAUCCUAGUCAAUGCUUAUAUGAGUUUGAUAAUUAUAUUAGGAAGCAAGAUCAUUUGAAAAUCCUAUGUUAUGAAACAACUGAGACAAAACUUGGAUAUGAUUGCUCGCUUAAGUGACUUGCUAUUUAGAAUAACCAAUGAUGUAGGAGGUGUAGGAAAACAUGCUCCUAUGGUUCAACUCAACUAGAACAAGUUACUGUUGGAGAACGUUGCCUGGGAAACAAAAAAUUUCCUACGCACACGAAGACCUAUCAUGGUGAUGUCCAUCUACGAGAGGAGAUUUGGAUCUAUGUACCCUUGUAGAUCACACAGCAGGAAGAGUUAAGAAACUCGGUUGAUGUAGUGGAACGUCCUCACGUCCCUCGAUCUGCCCCGCAAACCGUCCCGCGAUCCGUCCCACGAUCCGCUCUGAUCUAGUGCCAAACGGACAACACCUACACAUUCAACACACGUACAGCUCGAUGAUGAUCUCGUCCUUAUUGAUCCAGCAAGCAAGAUGGAGAAGUAGAUGACUUCUCCAGCAGUGUGACAGUGCUCCGGUGGUGGUGAAGGAUCUACUCAUGCAGGGCUCCGCCCGAGGUCCGCAGAAAUACGAUCUAGAGGUAAAACUAUGAUGUCUAGAUCUGAGUUGCACGUGGCAAAAUUUGUCUCAAAUCAUCCCUACAUCACCACUACAUAUAGGAGGGAGGGGGAGGAGGCUUGCCUUGAGGGCCAAGCCCUCAAGUGUGCGCCGGCUAGGGAGGAGGAGGAGUCCUACUCCAAUCCUAGUCCAACUAGGAUUGGAAAGUGGAGUCCUUCUCUGCCUUCCCACCUUUCUUUUUUUCUUUCUCUUUGGUUUUUCUUUCCUUGGCGCUAGGCCCUCUUGGGCUAUUCCACCAGCCCACUAAGGGCUGGUGCGCCACCCCUAGGGCCUUUGGAAUUCCCCCGGGUGGGUUGCCCCCCUCCCCGUGAACAUCCAGAACCCAUUCGUCACUCCCGGUACAAUCCCGGUAAUGCGCGAAAACCUUCGUCUUCGGACCAUUCCAGAAACCCUCGUGACGUCUGUGAUCUCAUCCGGCACUCCAAACAACAUUCGAUAACCACACAUAUAACUCAACCAUACUAAAACAUCGUCGAACCUUAAGUGUGCAGACCCUGCCGGUUCGAGAACUAUGUAGACAUGCCCUGAGGCACUCCUCGGUCAAUAUCCAAUAGCGGGACCUAGAUGCCCAUAUUGUAUCCUACAUAUUCUCCGAAGAUCUUAUCGGUUGAACCUCAGUGUCAAGGAUUCAUAUAAUCCUGUAUGUCAUUCCCUUUGUCCUUCAGUAUGUUACUUGCCCGAGAUUCGAUCGUCGGUAUCCGCAUACCUAUUUCAAUCUCGUUACCGGCAAGUCUGUUUACUUGUUCCAUAAUACAAGAUCCCGUGACUUACACUUAGUCACAUUGCUUGCAAGGCUUGUGUGUGAUGUUGCAUUACCGAGUGGGCCCCGAGAUACCUCUCCGUCACACGGAGUGACAAAUCCCAGUCUUGAUCAAUACUAACUCAACGGACACCUUCGGAGAUACCUGUAGAACACCUUUCUAGUCACCCAGUUACGUUGUGACGUUUGAUGCACACAAGGUAUUCCUCCGGUGCCAGUGAGUUAUAUGAUCUCAUGGUCAUAGGAACAAAUACUUGACACGCAGAAAACUAUAGCAAUAAAACGACACGAUCAAUAUGCUACGUUCAUAGUUUGGGUCUAGUCCAUCACAUGAUUCUCGUGAUGAUGUGAUCCAGUUAUCAAGCAACAACAGUUUGCACAUAGUCAGAAAACCUUGACUAUCCUUGAUAAACUAGCUAGCCAACUAGAGGCUUGCUAGGGACAUUGUUUUGUCUAUGUAUCCACACAUGUAUCUAUGUUUUCAUUCAAUACAAUUAUAGCAUGGAUAAUAAAUGAUUAUCUUUAAACAGUAAAUAUAAUAAUUAUUAUUUAUCAUGGCCUCUAGGGCAUAUUUUCAACAGUUACUAAGUCUCAAAGUGAGCUACUUCAUGAAAUGAAUAAUAAUAUGAAUGAUCAUAAUGUUAGAAUAAUAACUAGAGCAGGAACAAUGACUUCAGAUCCACUAUAUCAAGAAGGUCAUUCUAAAAGACCUGAACAAGAUUCACAAAGAAUUAAUAUUGAUGCACCUAGUCCUUCUGGGAAGAAAAAGAAAAAGAAAAAUUAUACAUACUUCUAAUGAACUUAAAUUAGAUAAACCUUCUCAUAAUGCUAAUUUUACCUCUAUCUCUGAUGCUCAAACUCAAUCUCGUAGUGAACAUUCACCUAGUGAUAGNNNNNNNNNNNNNNNNNNNNNNNNNNNNNNNNNNNNNNNNNNNNNNNNNNNNNNNNNNNNNNNNNNNNNNNNNNNNNNNNNNNNNNNNNNNNNNNNNNNNNNNNNNNNNNNNNNNNNNNNNNNNNNNNNNNNNNNNNNNNNNNNNNNNNNNNNNNNNNNNNNNNNNNNNNNNNNNNNNNNNNNNNNNNNNNNNNNNNNNNNNNNNNNNNNNNNNNNNNNNNNNNNNNNNNNNNNNNNNNNNNNNNNNNNNNNNNNNNNNNNNNNNNNNNNNNNNNNNNNNNNNNNNNNNNNNNNNNNNNNNNNNNNNNNNNNNNNNNNNNNNNNNNNNNNNNNNNNNNNNNNNNNNNNNNNNNCUAUCACUAGGUGAAUGCUCACUUCGAGAUUGAGUUUCAGCAUCACAGAUAGAGAUAUCAUUAGCAUUAAGAGAAGGUUUCUCUAAUUUAGGUUCAUUAGAAGUAUGUAUCAUUUUUCUUUUUCUUUUUCUUCCUAGAAGGACUACGUGCAUCAAUUUUAAUUCUUCGUGAAUCUUGUUGAGUUCUUUUAGGAUGACCUUUUGGAUAUAGUGGAUUUUGAGUCAUUGUUCCUCCUCUAGUCAUUACCCUAACAACAUGAUCAUCCAUAUUAUUAUUCAUUUCGUGAAGUAGCUCACUUUUAGACUUAGCAACUUGUUCUAGUUGACAUUGAACCAUAUAAGCAUGUUUUCCUACACCUCUUACAUCAUUGGUGAUACUAAAUAAGAAGUCACUUAAGCAAGCAAUCAUACCAGAGUUUUGUUUCAAUUGUUUCAUAAUAUAGGAGUUGAAAUGAUAUUGAUUUCUAAUAUAAUUAUUAAACUUAUGUAAGCAUUGACUAGGAUGUUUACUGUAAGGGUUAUCACCUUCAUUAGACUUUAAAAUAGAAUUUACCUCCACCACCUGUGGUGGUGUGCUGAGACCAUGUAUUUCUUUGAUAGGUGGUAAAUUCUUAACAUCUUUAGCUUUAGUGCAUUUUUCCUUCAUACAUUUCUUUGCCUCUUGCAUAGUUUCAGGACUAAGUAAUAAUAUACCCCUCUUCUUUGGAUUAGCUUUAGGCGGUGGUUCACGAAGUGUCCAUUCAUCAUGAUUCUUCAAUAUAUUAGUCAUUAACUCCUCAGUUUGUUUGACAGUUGGUUCCCUGAAAACACAACCAGCACAACUAUCUUGGUGGUCUCUAGAAGCUUUAGUUAAUCCAUUAUAAAAUAUAUCAAGUAUUUUAUUCUUCUUAAGAGGAUGAUCAGAUAAAGUAUUAAGUAACAAGAGAAGCCUCUCC